UACAGAGGUCCCAAGCGUUGUUCGGAUUCACUGGGCGUAAAGGGUGCGUAGGCGGUCGGGUAAGUCUGGCGUGAAAUCUCCAAGCCUAACUUGGAAACUGCGUUGGAUACUAUCCGGCUCGAGGAAUGGAGGGGAGACUGGAAUACUUGGUGUAGCAGUGAAAUGCGUAGAUAUCUGGAGGAACACCGGUGGCGAAGGCGGCAUCCUGGACCAACACUGACACUGAGGAGCGAAAGCCAGGGGAGCAAACGGG
rnacentral:rRNA from 1 species